CAGAAAUUCUGAGAGGAUUGCAAAAGGAAAAGCAGGACCCGGGUGAUGGGGCUGUGACAAAGGAGGAAUUUCAGGAGGAGAAAACAGUGGCUCAGAGAUUCAAGCUUAAUAUCCUGCUUUUCAUAAAGUCAAAAUAGCACCAAAACAGAACUCAAAGAACACUGGACUGAACUC